UACAGAGGGUGCGAGCGUUGUCCGGAAUCACUGGGCGUAAAGGGCGCGUAGGCGGCCUGAUAAGUAGGGGGUGAAAUCCUGUGGCUUAACUGCAGGGCUGCCUCCUAGACUGUUAGGCUCGAGCACGGUAGAGGCAGAUGGAAUUCCCGGUGUAGCGGUGGAAUGCGUAGAGAUCGGGAAGAACAUCGGUGGCGAAGGCGGUCUGCUGGGCCGUUGCUGACGCUGAGGCGCAACAGCGUGGGGAGCAAACAGG
rnacentral:rRNA from 1 species